AACUAACGCUGGCGGCGUGCCUAACACAUGCAAGUCGUACGAGAAAGCCGGCUUCGGCUGGUGAGUAAAGUGGCGCACGGGUGAGUAACGCGUGGAUAAUCUGCCCUUAAGUGUGGAAUAACGUACCGAAAGGUGCGCUAAUAUCGCAUAAUGCCUGGCAACACAAGUUGUCCGGCCAAAGAAGGCCUCUGUUUACAAGCUUUCGCUUCAGGAUGAGUCCGCGUACCAUUAGCUUGUUGGUGGGGUAAUGGCCUACCAAGGCUGCGAUGGUUAGCUGGUCUGAGAGGAUGAUCAGCCACACUGGAACUGAGACACGGUCCAGACUCCUACGGGAGGCAGCAGUGAGGAAUAUUGCGCAAUGGGGGCAACCCUGACGCAGCAACGCCGCGUGAGUGAGGAAGGUUUUCGGACUGUAAAGCUCUGUCGAGCGGGAAGAAGUGUACCAUGGCUAAUAUCCAUGAUAUUUGACGGUACCGCU
rnacentral:rRNA from 1 species